rnacentral:rRNA from 1 species
ACGAGUGGCGGACGGGUGAGUAACGCGUAGGAAUCUACCUGGUAGUGGGGGAUAGCCCGGGGAAACUCGGAUUAAUACCGCAUACGCCCUACGGGGGAAAGCAGGGGCUCUUCGGACCUUGCGCUAUUGGAUGAGCCUGCGUUAGAUUAGCUAGUUGGUGGGGUAAAGGCCUACCAAGGCGACGAUCUAUAGCUGGUCUGAGAGGAUGAUCAGCCACACUGGGACUGAGACACGGCCCAGACUCCUACGGGAGGCAGCAGUGGGGAAUAUUGCGCAAUGGGCGAAAGCCUGACGCAGCCAUGCCGCGUGUGUGAAGAAGGCUCUAGGGUCGUAAAGCACUUUAAGUGGGGAGGAAGGCUACUUGGUUAAUACCUGAGUAGAUUGACGUUACCCACAGAAUAAGCACCGGCUAACUCCGUGCCAGCAGCCGCGGUAAUACGGAGGGUGCGAGCGUUAAUCGGAAUUACUGGGCGUAAAGCGCGCGUAGGCGGUUUUGUAAGCUGGGUGUGAAAGCCCCGGGCUCAACCUGGGAACUGCAUUCAGAACUGCAAGGCUAGAGUACAGUAGAGGGUGGUAGAAUUUCCUGUGUAGCGGUGAAAUGCGUAGAUAUAGGAAGGAAUACCAGUGGCGAAGGCGGCCACCUGGACUGAUACUGACGCUGAGGUGCGAAAGCGUGGGUAGCGAACANGAUUAGAUACCC